UAGCUACUUUCUCCGUCCCGAAUUACUUGUCGCAGGUAUGGAUGUAUCUAGAUGUAUUUUAGUUCUAGAUACAUUCAUUUCUGCGACGAGUAAUUUAGAACGGAGGGAGUGGCUA
rnacentral:pre_miRNA from 1 species